GCCGGGUGUGGUGGCUCACACCUGUAAUCCUAGCACUUUGGGAGGCCGAGGCGGGUGGAUUGCCUGAGGUCAGGAGUUCAAGACCAGCCUGGCUAACAUGGUGAAACCCCGUCUCUA
rnacentral:SRP_RNA from 1 species